CCUACUUUUAUCCAUAAUAUUUUACUUAGCUUCAACAACUUUUCAACUUUUUACCAAUCAUCAUUUUUCAUUUGGUUGUUUAUGUAUUUUAAUUCUUUUGAAUAAAUGAUACUUGAAUCAUUUAGAGCUGCUGAGAAUCAAUCUGUAAACCAUCCACAAAUUAAUUGAGUCAACAAAGUAAGUUUAUACUUGCGGUUAAUUUAGG
rnacentral:lncRNA from 1 species